rnacentral:rRNA from 1 species
AUUGAACGCUGGCGGCAGGCCUAACACAUGCAAGUCGAGCGAGCGGCGGACGGGUGAGUAAUGUCUGGGAAACUGCAUGAUGGAGGGGGAUAACUACUGGAAACGGUAGCUAAUACCGCAUACCAUCAGAUGUGCCAAGAUGGGGUUAGCGAGUAGGUUGGGUAACGGCUCACCUAGGCGACGAGCCCUAGCUGGUCCGAGAGGAUGACCAGCCACACUGGAACUGAGACACGGUCCAGACUCCUACGGGAGGCAGCAGUGGGGAAUAUUGCACAAGGGUCGCAAGCCUGAUGCAGCCAUGCCGCGUGUGUGAAGAAGGCCUUCGGGUUGUAAAGCACUUUCAGCGGGGAGGCGUUACCCGCAGAAGAAGCACCGGCUAACUCCGUGCCAGCAGCCGCGGUAAUUC